GACAGCAGCAGCCGCGGUAAUACAGAGGGUGCGAGCGUUAAUCGGAUUUACUGGGCGUAAAGCGUGCGUAGGCGGCUUCUUAAGUCGGAUGUGAAAUCCCUGAGCUUAACUUAGGAAUUGCAUUCGAUACUGGGAAGCUAGAGUAUGGGAGAGGAUGGUAGAAUUCCAGGUGUAGCGGUGAAAUGCGUAGAGAUCUGGAGGAAUACCGAUGGCGAAGGCAGCCAUCUGGCCUAAUACUGACGCUGAGGUACGAAAGCAUGGGGAGCAAACAGGAUUAGAUACCCCCGUAGUCCCUGUCUCUUAUAA
rnacentral:rRNA from 1 species